rnacentral:lncRNA from 1 species
UAAUCAAUCUUUUUGAGUACACAAUUCACCCCCCCUCUUGUGUUGUUUAAAGUCACUUGUUCAACAAGACUCAUAAACUCUUCCGAGUCUACGAGUUGACUCGUGAGUUAGCAACUAUGCCUUUAUAGUCUAGAAACCAAUUAGACUUCACCCUACGUUGCUUAUAAACAUUUUAUCUUUCUCUAUUUUACCCAAUGUGGAAUGUUUUUCUCAACAGAACUUUAAUCAUUUUAGACAGUAGCAGAGAGAUUAAAAGUUCAAUUAAGCCAAAGUAGAACAGAAAACACAAUUCUUUGCAGCAUGAGUAUAGGCUUAUUUGUUUAAGAUUGAAAUAAAAGUAAAUAUCAGAUAUAAUAAUUUAGAGAUUUUUAUGUGAAGCACAGGUCGAUUUAUGUUUUUUAUAAAGAUAAAAAUCAAGUUUUUCUCUAAAGUUUCUAAAAACAACUUCUCAUUUUAAUCAUAUAAGUUAUUUUUUUAGAUUCUAAUUAAUUUAAAAAGCAUAAACAGACAACAUCAACACCACUAAAAAUGAUUUUUCACUUAAAAAGCAUGUUUUUUUUCUCUCAAAU